GACGAACGCUGGCGGCGUGCUUAACACAUGCAAGUCGAACGGAGUGGCGAACGGGUGAGUAACACGUGGGUGAUCUGCCUUGCACUUCGGGAUAAGCUUGGGUAACUGGGUCUAAUAACGGAUAGUGCACGAUGAGCUCGCGGCCUAUCAGCUUGUUGGUGGGGUAAUGGCCUACCAAGGCGUCGAGUGGUAGCCGUCCUGAGAGGGUGGACGGGCACAUUGGGACUGAGAUACGGCCCAGACUCCUACGGGAGGCAGUAGUGGGGAAUAUUGCACAAUGGGGGGAAGCCUGAUGCAGCGACGCCGCGUGGGGGAUGAAGGGCUUCGGGUUGUAAACUCCUUUCGACAGGGACGCGGUACCUGGAUAAGAAGCACCGGCUAACUACGUGCCAGCAGCCGCGGUAAUUC
rnacentral:rRNA from 1 species